AGUGGAUUGGGAGCAACCUAGUUGUGAGUGUAUAAAGGUAGUGGCAAGAAAAGCUGUGAUGACGUUGAACAAGAAGUCCCGGUACCCGAAACCGACACAGGUGGGCAAGUAGAGCAUACUAAGGGGCGCGAGGUAACUCUCUCUAAGGAACUCGGCAAAAUGACCCCGUAACUUCGGGAGAAGGGGUGCCACCGAGAGGUGGUCGCAGUGAAGAGUCCCAGGCGACUGUUUAGCAAAAGCAUAGGUCUCUGCAAACUCGAAAGAGGAGGUAUAGGGGCUGACGCCUGCCCAGUGCCGGAAGGUUAAAGAAGUUGGUUAGUCUUAGGAUGAAGCUAGCGACUGAAGCCCCGGUGAACGGCGGCCGUAACUAUAACGGUCCUAAGGUAGCGAAAUUCCUUGUCGGGUAAGUUCCGACCCGCACGAAAGGCGUAACGAUCUGGGAGCUGUCUCGGAGAGAGGCUCGGCGAAAUAGGAUUGUCUGUGAAGAUACGGACUACCUGCAUUUGGACAGAAAGACCCUAUGAAGCUUUACUGUAGCUUGGAAUUGUGUUCGGGCUUCCUGUGCGCAGGAUAGGUGGGAGGCUGUGAAGGUACACUUGUGGGUGUACUGAAGCCAUCAGUGAGAUACCACUCUCAGGAGGCUAGAAUUCUAACUUAAUAAAGGACAGUUUCAGGUGGGCAGUUUGACUGGGGCGGUCGCCUCCAAAAAGGUAACGGAGGCGUACAAAGGUUCCCUCAGACUGGUUGGAAAUCAGUCGAAGAGUGCAAAGGCAGAAGGGAGCUUGACUGCGAGACGGACAAGUCGAGCAGGGUGGAAACACGGUCUUAGUGAUCCGACGGUGCUGUGUGGAAGGGCCGUCGCUCAACGGAUAAAAGUUACUCUAGGAUAACAGGCUGAUCUCCCCCAAGAGUUCACAUCGACGGGGAGGUUUGGCACCUCGAUGUCGGCUCAUCGCAACCUGGGGCGGAAGUACGUCCCAAGGGUUGGGCUGUUCGCCCAUUAAAGCGGUACGUGAGCUGGGUUCAGAACGUCGUGAGACAGUUCGGUCCAUAUCCGAUGUAGGCGUGAGAAUAUUGAGAGGAGCCUUCCUUAGUACGAGAGGACCGGGAAGGACGCACCGCUGGUGUACCUGUUAUGAUGCCAAUUGUAAACGCAGGGUAGCCAAGUGCGGAGAGGAUAACCGCUGAAAGCAUCUAAGUGGGAAGCCCACCUCAAGAUGAGUAUUCUGGUGUAAGGUCACGGGAAGACAACCCGUUAAUAGGCACGAGGUGGAAGUGCAGUGAUGUAUGAAGCCGAAGUGUACUAAUAGACCGUCAGCUUGACC
rnacentral:rRNA from 1 species